UAGAUGGAUUCUUCCAUGUGUUCUGCUUGGUUGGGAAUGAGAAUGAGAAGAAAUGUGAAUUCAUGAGUGGAGAAAAAAAAAACAGAGAAUAACCGAGAGGGAGAGAGAAGCAGUUUCGGUCCAAGAAGAAGAAAAUUAAGGGAAGAAAAGCUUCGAGGAUCAAGAGAAUGGAAAGUGAAUCAAAAACUUCUUGAUUUUUAAGUUUAAGGUCACGCGCCAUUGUCUGCCUGAUUUAUCUGAUAUGUCCAGUCCAUCUGAUUUGCUUCUGCAUCCAUCUUUGUGGCAGACUUAACUAAGGGAGCGAAAUUGGAUGGCGACAAUUAUGACAUAUGGCGCCGUAAGAUCCAAUACCUCAUCAAUGAGCAAGAAGUGUUGACCACACUUGAACAAGUGAUGGUUGAGCCUGAGCAGGGCAAUACAGCUCAACAUCGUCGUGAUCUUGAAGUCUUUUAGACUUGGCGUAACAAAGAUCGGUGUGCACACUUUACCAUGUUGAGCAUCAUGCACAACGACUUGAUUAGUGAGUUUGAGCAUUGCCCGAGUGCAUUCGAGAUGUGGGAAGCUCUCAAGCAAAAGUUUGGUAUCACCUCUUUGGCAAAGUUACGUGGGCUGACUAUUAAGUUUGACUCUUAUCAGAAAAAGGCGCAUCACUCGAUGAAGCAACAUUUGAGGGUCAUGUCAGCCAUGAUACGUGAGCUUGCGGCUGUUGGGUACAAUUUGACUCAAGAGCAACAAGUACAAGCUGUGAUUCGCUCUCUGCCAAAUUCUUGGGAGUAGAUGAAACAGAACAUGAUGCAUAAUGAAAGUGUGAAAACAUUCAAAGACAUAUCGCAUCAUUUGGAGCUAGAGGCUGAGCAUCUCAAGGCGGCUAAGUCUGAUAGUUCUGCUAUGGUGGUUAAGUCAAGCUCACGUAAGACUUCUCAGUUCAAGCGUGGAAAAGAAAAAUGUGCUCUUAAGAAGCAAGCAACAACUACGCUAAAGCCCAAUGGUGCUAGAAAUUUCAAGCGUAGGGACAAGAGAGGCGCAAGAAGGUAAAAGGGUAAAUUGACAUGCUUUAACUACAACAAAGAAGGACAUUUCGUUGGGGAUUGCCCUGAGCAGAAGAAGACUCAGGAGCACCAGACCACAUCGCGAGGAACACAGUAGGGUUCGUUGAGUAUCGCCGAGUACCUGCUGGGAGCAGAAAAGUUUAAAUGGGGAACGAGUCCAGUGUGGAGGUGCUUGGCAUUGGCACAUACAAGCUGGAAAUGCGACGAGGGCAUAUCUUGCAUCUUCAUGAUGUUCUUUAUGCUCCGAAUAUUCGAUGAAACUUAGUUUUAGUUAUUAGCAUGAUAAGCCUUGGUUUUAGCUUUUGUUUUGAGAAUAAUGGUGUUAGCAUUUACUUGGAAACAAUUUUUUAUGGUUUUGGUUAUCUUUUAGAUGGUUUCUUAGUUUUGGAUGUGGAUGAUUCU